AUUGCUUUUUCUUCACCGCUAUCCCUUGGGCUUUACUCACCCUCUGUGAGUUCUACACUGAAAAACUGAAAAUGAGUUGCGAGGAUCACUCGACCGAUAGUUAUGUUAAAGGAAAUUGCUUUUGUAUGCAGUGUUUCAUCGCCCAAGCAACCUACGACGGCACCCAAACUUUCGUCCAUUUGUGCACAUAAACUCAUCUUGCAGAGCGGAACUUUUCGCUAACCAACAAUAACCUAGAUGAAAUAUCUAUGACUAAUUGAGAAUUAUCUGUUAGCCACUAGGGCAAAAGAGCUCAAUCACCAUCAGCGCCAUGCUGCCGUUGAGGGGGACGAAUCGCCCAAUCCGAUCCCUCCAACAUUAACUAACUAUCCUUCACCGACUUACCUAAUGAUUCGCGCGACUUGCUACAAACGGUGCUACGCAGUAGGAAAAAUCUAAGAGGCUCGCUUCAUUUCAGAUGAUGGCCAUAACGACCUCUAUCAGAAUGCGCUUUCAAAAAUCCUUCUCAGCCAUUAUACAGAGAGCAGCAGCAUGUGAACCUUUGCUCACAAAUUGCAGUUGUGGAAAGUGAAGUGGACUGAAGUACCGAAGUACCAAUGACAUGCUUUGCAUUGAGAUUUUGAUAUCACACAUGUCGUAUCAAGCAUAUUGAAGAGUGGAGGAGAAAGGAAAAUCCUAUGGGUGCCUUGACAUGAAAGCUUGGCAUUCAUACAUCAUUAGCACUUACAUGGAUGAAUGAUGGGCGGGCUAGCAUCAACUUCAGAGGUGGGGGUUCUGGUUGUGCAUUUCACCCUUCUAUGCUGCGAGGAAUACAGAUUGAGAAUACUACGGAGAAUGUAUAUAAAGCCUGAGCAUUGUACUAGUAGUAAUUGUUUUGAAUACUAUUGAAGGAUAAAGGUCAACGGCUGC
rnacentral:sRNA from 1 species